rnacentral:rRNA from 1 species
CCUACGGGAGGCAGCAGUGAGGAAUAUUGGGCAAUGGGCGCAAGCCUGACCCAGCCAUGCCGCGUGAAGGAUGAAUGCCCUAUGGGUUGUAAACUUCUUUUGUACGGGACGAAACUCUUGGUCGUGACCAGGACUGACUGUACCGUACGAAUAAGUAUCGGCUAACUCCGUGCCAGCAGCCGCGGUAAUACGGAGGAUGCAAGCGUUAUCCGGAUUCAUUGGGUUUAAAGGGUGCGUAGGCGGAAUAAUAAGUCAGUGGUGAAAGCCUGCGGCUUAACCGUAGAAUUGCCAUUGAUACUGUUAUUCUUGAGUAUAGUUGAGGUGGGCGGAAUGUGUAGUGUAGCGGUGAAAUGCUUAGAUAUCACACAGAACACCAAUUGCGAAGGCAGCUCACUAAACUGUAACUGACGCUGAGGCACGAAAGCGUGGGGAUCAAACAGGAUUAGAUACCCUGGUAGUCCACGCCGUAAACGAUGAUUACUCGUUGUGUGCGAUAUACUGUACGCGACUGAGCGAAAGCAUUAAGUAAUCCACCUGGGUAGUACGGCCGCAAGGUUGAAACUCAAAGGAAUUGACGG